rnacentral:rRNA from 1 species
AUGGAGGACUUCUACUACUUCCCCAGCUCCUUGGAGACCUCUGAAAUUGUCCACAGAGGGUUCCUCCCCGUCGUGCACUCCUCCCCCCGCAACCGGAGCUCGCCGUCGCCGAGGCCCCGGCGCGGGUCCCGCGACGACGCCGGCGAGCUCGGCCACCACUACCUCGACGCCUGCUUCCGGUGCGGGCGGACAAUCGCUGGAAACAAGGACAUCUUCAUGUACAGAGGCGACACCCCGUUCUGCAGCGAGGAGUGCCGGCAGCAGCAGAUCGACACCGACGAGGCGGCGGAGAAGAGACCCAAGAAGUCCGCGGCCGCGACGACGACGGAGCAGCAGUCGCAGCGGCAGAGCUCGCACAGAGUGCCCAUCUGGGCUCGGUAG